AAAGCUCUUUCUUUCCCACUCGACAUGUCUUCUACCCGAGCAUGGCGCGAGCUGUAGACUCGCGUUUCUAUCAAGAGAAAGACUUUCCAUAGCAACGGAUAAGUAGCUAGUGAUGGGUCGUUCUGCGAUGAAUUUACGUUUAGUUAGCCAAAAAAAAUGUGUCAAUGCACUAUUUUUCACGCAUGAACCUAUACAUAAACUCACGUAACUCAAAGUAACAACAAAACGUAUUCAUCGAACUUAUUUUUUAUCUGUGGAACUAAAAUGGUUCAUGUUUGUUUGUUUACAAAAAACGAUUAUUGUUGUUGAUUUUAAGUAUUUAAAUAUUGGCGAUUACUGCGUGCGGCAAGGAAAAACGUACGAAGUCCCAUCCAAUAAACAGAGAAGAUAGUAUCCCGAUCCAUUGGGAAAAGAAGGCCACGAUAAAGAAGAAUAGGUCCGUAUUCAAACGCUGCUGAAAAAAUAUGGAAAAGAACGAGUUCUUGGCAUACAAUGUUGACACGAGAAUCAUUCUAUUAAUUACAAAAAAAGGAUGCUAAAUGACAACUGGGUCGUCAGUUUACAAAUUAUAAAUUAUUGAAAUGAUAUCAUUUAAUAAAGAAUGUGAAUAUUAAAAUCAUAA
rnacentral:lncRNA from 1 species